rnacentral:lncRNA from 1 species
UGUUUCGGACUCUUUUCCGACGAUCCGACGGCCAAAAUCCCACUCACACGACCCAAAAAUCAAGCAAUGAAGCACAAGGGCUUACCUCGGUCCGGCGGGAUGCUCCGGCGGCCCUUCCGGCGAGGAUUCGGUGGAGAAAUCCAUGAGUAAACCCACGGAUCCGAGGCCUCUUCGUGCGUUUGGUGGGGAUCCUCCUCCUUGACCGGCCGGCUCACGAGAUCCGCUACCUUCCCGGUGCUCAAACUCCCCCCGGCGACUCGGCUCCCUCCGGCGAUCCCCUCUAACGCCGCCGCCGUCUCCC